rnacentral:rRNA from 1 species
AUUGAACGCUGGCGGCAGGCCUAACACAUGCAAGUCGAGCGGAGCGGCGGACGGGUGAGUAAUGCCUACGAAUCUGCCUGGUAGUGAGGGAUAACGUCCGGUAACGGGCGCUAAUACCGUAUACUUUCAGAUGAGUCUAGGUCGGAUUAGCUAUUUGGUGUGGGACAGUCCUACCAAGGCUACGAUCCGUAACUGGUCUGAGAGGAUGAUCAGUCACACUGGAACUUAGAAACGGUCCAGACUCCUACGGGAGGGAGCAGUGGGGAAUGUUGGACAAUGGGCGAAAGCCUGAUCCAGCCAUGACGCGUGGGUGAAGAAGGUCUUCGGAUUGUAAAGCACUUUAAGUUGGGCAGCGUUACCAACAGGAUAAGCACCGGCUAACUUCGUGCCAGCAGCCGCGGUAAUAC